GACGAACGCUGGCGGCGUGCUUAACACAUGCAAGUCGAACGGAAAGGCCCUGCUUUUGUGGGGUGCUCGAGUGGCGAACGGGUGAGUAACACGUGAGUAACCUGCCCUUGACUUUGGGAUAACUUCAGGAAACUGGGGCUAAUACCGGAUAUGAGCUCCUGCUGCAUGGUGGGGGUUGGAAAGUUUCGGCGGUGGUGGCUGGACUCGCGGCUUAUCAGCUUGUUGGUGGGGUAGUGGCUUACAAAGGCUUUGAAGGGUAGCCGGCCUGAGAGGGGGACCGGCGACAUUGGGACUGCGGUAGGGCGCAGACUCCUACGGGAGGCAGCAGUGGGGAAUAUGGCGCAAUGGGCGGAAGCCUGAGGCAGCAACGCCGCGUGCGUGAUGACGGCCUUCGGGGUGUAAACCGCUUUCGCCUGUGACGAAGCGGGAGUGACGGUAAUGGGUAAAGAAGCACCGGCUAACUACGUG
rnacentral:rRNA from 1 species